UAGGGGAAUUUUCGUUCAAUGGGGGGCAACCCUGAACGAGCAAUGCCGCGUGAGCGAAGAAGGUCUUCGGAUUGUAAAGCUCUGUUGCCGGGGAAAAAGGAAGGAAAGAGGAAAAUGCUUUUUCUUUGGAUGGUACCCGGCCAGAAAGUC
rnacentral:rRNA from 1 species